AUAUUUAAGUGUAAAAAGAAAAAAAAUCAUUUGCUUCAUUUUUUAGAAAAAAAAAAAAAAAAGCUUCCUUCCCUCCGUUUUCUCUCUGGGCACUGCCCAAAAUCCAGCUAUCGGGCCACCGUGACCGUCGGUCGUCAGCGACGAUGGCCUCCAUCUUCGGUGGCCGGAAAAUUAUCAAAAAUACCUUUUAAAUCCUUUUUUUGUGUAGAGCACGGAUCGGGGUCAAAAUCCUCCAAAAAAAUUAUCCAAAGUUCGAAAAUAAAAUAAAAAGAUGAAACCUUUCAGUUUCUUAGGUUUUUAUUUUUCUGAAACAAAGAAAAAAAAAAAAAAAGGAGAUAGCCCCUACGACGAUGGAUUCCUACGACAGUCGGAGACAAAGCGCUACAGUGUUGGGGUCAACGGAGAUGAUCUUACCAUUUUGGUGCAAGGUGGCCAAGGCGUCAGCCUCAGGACAAGGUGCCUCGAGCUGCGAGAGAGAAGCGGCGGCUAGGGUUUUUAGUUUUACUGAAAACUUAAUUUAGGUUGUGAGCCACUGGGCUAUUAGGGUUUUUUUAUUAUUAUUUUGGGCUGCUUGUAAUUGGGCUUUAUUAUUUUGGAUUUUUUAUUAUUAGGCCCGGGCAAAAUUGGGCUUCUACAUUAAUUUUUAGACUUUUCUAAAACUUGAGA